CUCCAGUGACAGCAUGGUCAUGUGAAAAUAGUGGAACGACAGGCAAGUGAGAGGCAGGGGCUCAAGCAGUGGACAUCGAGAUAUCAAAGGGGCUUGUGUCAGCAGUGCUUUUAAAAAGAAAGCAGAUUAUUCAACCGGCAUUGCAGGGUAGGAAAGGAGGCUACCAUGUGUUUUUUUAGCAAGGUAGCAGAGAGCAGGGUCAGAUUUUCGUGCCAGUACCUGUAAGACCGAGCAUAACAUUUCAGUCAUGAAUGAUAGUGCUAAUAAUGCUCGUGAAGUAGAGGCGUGUGAGCGGAGAGUCCACCACGGGUGACUGAAAUCCGAGGAGGCAGAGGAGAGGAGGUGGGGUGUGAUCGGACCGGCAGAAGCAAGCUCAACCAACCCGGAACAGAUGUGAGAGAGGAGCACGUCAGCUGAGAACGAAACGAGAGAACGAGGUGUUCCUACAGUGGGCAGCAAAUGGAGUCACCCCCGGAGGUGCCAAAUGGAAAUGGCGAGGAGAGAGGUGAGUCGAAUUUAUUAGCAAUACAGAAGGCCUGCAG